CAUACAUACUUCUUUUGUUUUUGGAGAGCCUGACAUUUCUGUAGAUUUUUUAAGUUUGCAAAGUGUUUUAUAUACAUUAUCUCAUAUAAAAGAGUUACCUCAGCAGCUACCAUUUCCAUUUUACAAAUGAAGAAACUGAAGCUCAGAGAGGCUUGUCCAUCGCUGCACAACUUCUAACUGUCAGAGCCCGUGAAUGGAUCAGGAUUUGAAUCUGUGUCUUUGUGACUACAAGCCUAGCACUCUGUCUACUAUACCUUGCUGCUAAUCUUGGAAGGACCAUCAAAUAGUCAUUCAGAAUCCUAAAAAUGGGUUGCAAUGAAUGGGAAGCUGACUCCAGAAUUUGCCCAGGACCCUAAUGAAAGGUCAACAGAGAGCCAUAGCUGCUGCUUCACUGUAUCUAACUUCUGGAAUGUCCAAAUUUAAAAAGAAUACACUCUUGCUGAGCUCCCCAUCAGUUUUCCUUGAUUAUGUUUCAGAAAACAAAUUCUCGUAAGUCUGCUUCAAGAUGGAAGGGGAUGUGACUAUGGAACAAAUUGGGUAUGCUAUUCUGCACAGAUGGACACUAAGUUCAUUGGAAAAUGAUAAAGAUGAAGAGAAGCAGGAGAAGGGCCUCACCAUCUCCUCUCCAUGACAUGCUAGUAGGAUUGGUUCAAUAUCACAACUUCAUUCUUCCCUCCAGCAUUGUGUGGAAUCUGCUUUUGAAGUCAAAAUUACUAGCAGGUCAUCCUGGAUUUACAUGUAUUCUUCUGGCUCAAAGCUACCUUCAAUUAGUCAAUCAAUCAACAAGAAUUUCUUAAGCUUCCUAUAUGUUAGCCACUGUCCUGAGUUCUGGAGCUAUUUUAAAAAGGUAAAAAAUAAAAAUAAAAAAAAUAAAAACCAAAAAAAAAGUCCCUGCCUUCAAGGAGCUCACGGUGUAAUGGGAGACAUCACAUGUGCAAACCCAUGUAUAUGCAAGAGAUAUAAAAAGUAGAUUCAAGAUGACCUUAAAGGAGAAGAUUGUAGCAUCUUGGGGUGGGGUAGACUGAGGGAAGGAAAAGCCUCUGCUAAAAGGUGGGUUCUGAUGUGUUACUUCAAGUAUCCAGAAAGAAGAGAAGUUGUGUAAGCUCUCGGGCCAAAGUCUUUGUUUUCCAACUUCCUCCUCUAUUUUAUUUUGUAUUUGUAUUUGUAUUGUGCUGUAGUGUAUUGUAUUGUUUUG